UUCAUCAGUGCGAGAUUACAAUAUGAUACAUUCCUUAUGAAAAUCUACUUUAGGACUGAAAAUAUACCGUAAAGUUUAAAAAGGAAUAUACUUUAGUAAAUUUGUGCUAUGUUCGAACAAAACUUUAUACAUUUUGGUAAUGUACUAGAAAGAAUACUUUAAAUGAACUAAUCCGUUAAGAGGACAUUUUUUUAUAUGUAGUUAUCAGCUUUCUAUGUUCCAACAACGAAGAAGAGUAGGCUAAUCUUUCAGAUUCCUCCGAUCCUUCAUAUAGAGAAGUUAAGUAGUUCAUGUAAAAAACUGUGUUAAAAUUUCACCUUGAAGACUUUUAGCGGUAUAUUAAAAGCAAACAUUGCACGUCGUAAUACGAAUAGUCCCAUCAUUCGGUAAUCAUCCAAUCUUUUUAUUGACUAAGCGUGAUUAGUUUUCCAUGAUACUCAUAACCUUACAAUAUGUCCAGUAAGCUGUUAUAUGCUAUACUUACCACUAAUCGUGGAAAAUAAUGCGAUAUUUAAUGGAUAAUUGUAUGCAACCAUAUAUACAUUUCGUUUAAGCAUGGUAUUAACAAUUUUUACCCGGAUUAUAGGAUAUAUCCAGGAAUAUAUCAGAAAGUGUUCAGAACGUAUUAAAGCAAAGUGUACAUAUGCUACAUCUCUACAAACACAGGAGAGAAAAACCUAAUAUACAUUUACUAACGAACGCAUUAAAAAGUUUACAUUUUAUUGGCGACUAUGAUUAUACUUGUAUUUAACUUACAAUAAAAUGAGAAAGCUCGGAAGAACAUGCGGACGAUAAAGGAAAAAUUUACAAGAUAAUUAUACAUAAUUCAGUAGAGAAUGAUCGUAGCUAUAUAUAAUACCUAUAAUUAUGGAAUUGCAUGCGACAAAGUGUAAAAUUUUAAGAUAUUAUGUAUGCCGUAAUCAUUCUAUUAUCUCUUAUAUAAUAAGUUUAACGU